rnacentral:rRNA from 1 species
UACGUAGGGUGCAAGCGUUGUCCGGAAUUAUUGGGCGUAAAGAGCUCGUAGGCGGUCUGUCGCGUCUGCUGUGAAAAUCCAGGGCUCAACCCUGGACCUGCAGUGGGUACGGGCAGACUAGAGUGCGGUAGGGGAGAUCGGAAUUCCUGGUGUAGCGGUGAAAUGCGCAGAUAUCAGGAGGAACACCGAUGGCGAAGGCAGGUCUCUGGGCCAUAACUGACGCUGAGAAGCGAAAGCGUGGGGAGCAAACAGG